AUUGUGUGAAUACAUAGCACAUUCGAGGUAGACGCAGAGAACUGAAACAUCUAAGUACCUGCAGGAAGAGAAAGAAAAUUCGAUUCCCUGAGUAGCGGCGAGCGAAACGGGAAAAGCCCAAACCAGCAAGCUUGCUUGUUGGGGUUGUAGGACUCCAAUAUGGUAGUUCUUUCAGAUAGUCGAAUGACUUGGAAAAGUCAGUCAAAGAGGGUAAAAACCCCGUAGACGAAAUGUGGAAGACACCUAGGAGGAUCCUGAGUACGGCGGAACACGAGAAAUUCCGUCGGAAUCCGGGAGGACCAUCUCCCAAGGCUAAAUACUCCCUAGUGACCGAUAGUGAACCAGUACCGUGAGGGAAAGGUGAAAAGCACCCCGGAAGGGGAGUGAAAUAGAACCUGAAACCGUGUGCCUACAACAAGUCAAAGCCCGUUAAUGGGUGAUGGCGUGCCUUUUGUAGAAUGAACCGGCGAGUUACGAUUGCAUGCGAGGUUAAGUUGAAGAGACGGAGCCGCAGCGAAAGCGAGUCUGAAUAGGGCGUUUGAGUAUGUAGUCGUAGACCCGAAACCAUGUGAUCUACCCAUGUCCAGGUUGAAGGUGCGGUAAAACGCACUGGAGGACCGAACCCACGUACGUUGAAAAGUGCGGGGAUGAGGUGUGGGUAGCGGAGAAAUUCCAAACGAACUUGGAGAUAGCUGGUUCUCUCCGAAAUAGCUUUAGGGCUAGCCUCGGAAUUGAGAAUGAUGGAGGUAGAGCACUGUUUGGACUAGGGGCCCAUCUCGGGUUACCGAAUUCAGAUAAACUCCGAAUGCCAUUCAUUCAUAUCCGGGAGUCAGACUGUGAGUGAUAAGAUCCAUAGUCGAAAGGGAAACAGCCCAGACCACCAGCUAAGGUCCCAAAAUAUAUGUUAAGUGGAAAAGGAUGUGGGGUUGCACAGACAACUAGGAUGUUGGCUUAGAAGCAGCCACC
rnacentral:rRNA from 1 species